rnacentral:rRNA from 1 species
AACGAACGCUGGCGGCAUGCCUAACACAUGCAAGUCGAACGAGACCUUCGGGUCUAGUGGCGCACGGGUGCGUAACGCGUGGGAACCUGCCUUUAGGUUCGGAAUAACUCAGAGAAAUUUGAGCUAAUACCGGAUGAUGUCUUCGGACCAAAGAUUUAUCGCCUUUAGAUGGGCUCGCGUUGGAUUAGCUAGUUGGUGGGGUAAAGGCCUACCAAGGCGGCGAUCCAUAGCUGGUCUGAGAGGAUGAUCAGCCACACUGGGACUGAGACACGGCCCAGACUCCUACGGGAGGCAGCAGUGGGGAAUAUUGGACAAUGGGCGAAAGCCUGAUCCAGCAAUGCCGCGUGGGUGAUGAAGGCCUUAGGGUUGUAAAGCUCUUUUACCCGAGAUGAUAAUGACGGUAUCGGGAGAAUAAGCUCCGGCUAACUCCGUG